rnacentral:tRNA from 1 species
AGAUCGCGGCCGGGGUCGAUGCCGUCCAGCUUUUCGACAGCUGGGCCGGCAGCCUGGCCCCCGCCCAGUUCGAACGCUGGGUGAUCGC